UGGAUCACCUCCUUUCUAAGGAAA
rnacentral:rRNA from 1 species